AAGAUUACAAGAUGAAAGGUUAUGGAGCUCACGGCCACCAAGAGCCUAAGCUUGGCAUGGGAGGUGGAGCCACCGAUGCUCCUACUCCUUCAGGUGGUGUAGGCCGUGGCGGAGGUGCUGCAUCGACGGAUCUUUCCUCCACCGGUGCUAUUAACCGUCAGGGAGUUCCGUGAGAUCUUUAACAAACACAAAAAUGUAGCUUAGCUUGUUCAAUAUAUAACAUCGUUUUGUUUAACGUGUUUUAUGUUAAUAAGUUUAUUUUCGUGGAGAGCUAAAUGCUAAAUAAUUGUCAUGUCUGAAAAGUGAAAAUAAAUACUCGAUAUCUUGAAUCCUAUAAUGUUUAUCCAAAAAUGUUUUGAAUCUUAUUGUAAUACAUCAUCAAAUGAUAAUUUUAAUAUCUGUUUCUGAUAUUUUCCAUCCCAAUACCCAUAUUAGUAAUCUUAUUAAAAAGCCCACUUAAAAGCCCAUUAAAAAGCCGACUUUAAAAGCCCAGAACUUAUACAGCCGACAUUACCCACAAGGACACGUAGAUCUCGAGGAGCCGCGUAGUUAACGUGUCGGAAAGACACAAAGCCACAGUGUACUCUUUAGAAGCUUUAUAAAAGCAGACACAUCUCAACUCAAGUAAGAUCCUAAAAACAAAUCUAAUAGUUAAGAAAAAAAACAAAGGAAACAAACCACAAUAACAAAAAUGGAAGCUGAGAAAACACCACCGACGACGACGACGACGCCGGCGACAACGACGACUGAGAAGAAAACUGGGCCAGAAGUGAAAGACAACGACUUACCAACUAAUAGCCCUUACAUGGCGACGGGUACUUUGGAAGAUUACAAGAUGAAAGCUUAUGGAGCUGAAGGACAUCAAGAGCCUACACCUGGUCUAGGUGGUGGCUCCACUGAUGCUCCUACUCCUUCAGGCGACGCACCUGCCGCCGCCACCACCACUACCGGUGCUAAAGCUCCGUGAAAUAAAAGAAAGGCUAAUAAAAUAAUUAUUGGGUUUAGUGGAUCGUUAAAAUACCCAAAAUUGUAGUAUCUUCA
rnacentral:lncRNA from 1 species